GAUGAAGAACGUAGCGAAAUGCGAUACGUAAUGUGAAUUGCAAUUUCAGUGAAUCAUCGAGUCUUUGAACGCACAUUGCGCCCCCUGGUAUUCCGGGGGGCAUGCCUGUCCGAGCGUCAUUGCUGCCCUCAAGCACGGCUUGUGUGUUGGGCCCCGUCCUCCGAUCCCGGGGGACGGGCCCGAAAGGCAGCGGCGGCACCGCGUCCGGUCCUCGAGCGUAUGGGGCUUUGUCACCCGCUCUGUAGGCCCGGCCGGCGCUUGCCGAUCAACCCAAAUUUUUUAUCCAGGUUGACCUCGGAUCAGGUAGGGAUACCCGCUGAACUUAAGCAUAUCAAUAAGCGGAGGA
rnacentral:misc_RNA from 1 species